rnacentral:rRNA from 1 species
CCCUUAGAUGUCCGGGGCCGCACGCGCGCUACACUGAAGGAAUCAGCGUGGCUUUCUCCCUGACCCGAAAGGGUUGGGAAACCCGUUGAAUCUCCUUCGUGAUAGGGAUUGGGGCUUGAAAUUGUUCCCCAUGAACGAGGAAUUCCCAGUAAGCGCGAGUCAUAAGCCCACGUUGAUUACGUCCCUGCCCUUUGUACACACCGCCCGUCGCUACUACCGAUUGAACGGUUUAGUGAGGGCCUCGGAUUGGUCUCGGCCCGCUCUUUACCGGGCGGCGCCGUUGGUCGAGAAGACGCUCGAACUUGAUCGUUUAGAGGAAGUAAAAGUCGUAACA